AAGACCUUGCGCUUUUGGAGCGGCCGAUGCCUGAUUAGCUUGUUGGUAAGGUAAAAGCUUACCAAGGCUUCGAUCAGUAACUGGUCUGAGAGGACGACCAGCCACACUGGGACUGAGACACGGCCCAGACUCCUACGGGAGGCAGCAGUGGGGAAUUUUGGACUAUGGGGGCAACCCUGAUCCAGCCAUGCCGCGUGAGUGAAGAAGGCCUUCGGGUUGUAAAGCUCUUUCAGCCGGAACGAAACGGUUACGGAUAACACCCGUGACUACUGACGGUACCGGAAGAAGAAGCACCGGCUAACUACGUGCCAGCAGCCGCGGUAAUACGUAGGGUGCGAGCGUUAAUCGGAAUUACUGGGCGUAAAGCGUGCGCAGGUGGUUUUGUAAGUCAGAUGUGAAAGCCCCGGGCUCAACCUGGGAACU
rnacentral:rRNA from 1 species